rnacentral:RNase_P_RNA from 1 species
GCAGUAAGCUGGACAGCCGCGCGGGCGGGGCGAAAGGCCCGCCUGUGAGGAAAGUCCGGGCUCCGCAGGGCAAGGAUAACGGGUAACACCCGCCGGGGGCGACCCUAGGACAAGUGCAACAGAGAUAUACCGCCCCGUUCCCUGUAAAUGGGGCCCCCGCAAAAACGUCGUUUUUGUGGGGAGAGGAGGAGCAGCGUAAUGAGUUCGUUUUCCUGCUUGCAGGAAAACGAACGAUAUGCAGCUUGCGACGACGAGGUAAGGAUGGAAAGGCGAGGUAAGAGCUCACCCGAUGGCGCGUAAAAGUGCCCAUCGCUGUAAACUCUAUCCGGAGCAACGCCGUGGGAACACACAUAGACCGGCCCGGUCGUGUUCAGGAGGCGGCUUGAGCGCGUCAGCAAUGGCGCGUCGAGAUAGAUGGCUGUCUUAAAAGACAGAACCCGGCUUACAGGCUUACUGCACCA